AACGUAGGGGGCAAGCGUUGUCCGGAAUCAUUGGGCGUAAAGCGCAUGUAGGUGGCCUUGUAAGUCAGAUGUAAAAGGUAUGGGCUCAACCUAUACAUGCAUCUGAUACUGUGAGGCUAGAGAACGGUAGAGGGAAACGGAACUUCCGGUGUAGCGGUGAAAUGCGUAGAUAUCGGAAGGAACACCAGUGGCGAAGGCGGUUUCCUGGGCCGUUUCUAACACUGAGAUGCGAAAGCUAGGGGAGC
rnacentral:rRNA from 1 species